AUUGAACGCUGGCGGCAUGCUUUACACAUGCAAGUCGAACGGUAACAGGCCGCAAGGUGCUGACGAGUGGCGAACGGGUGAGUAAUGCAUCGGAACGUGCCCAGUCGUGGGGGAUAACGCAGCGAAAGCUGCGCUAAUACCGCAUACGAUCCAUGGAUGAAAGCGGGGGACCGGAAGGACUCGCGCGAGUGGAGCGGCCGAUGUCAGAUUAGGUAGUUGGUGGGGUAAAGGCACACCAAGCCGACGAUCUGUAGCUGGUCUGAGAGGACGACCAGCCACACUGGGACUGAGACACGGCCCAGACGCCUACGGGAGGCAGCAGUGGGGAAUUUUGGACAAUGGGGGCAACCCUGAUCCAGCAAUGCCGCGUGCAGGAAGAAGGCCUUCGGGUUGUAAACUGCUUUUGUACGGAACGAAACGGCUCUGGUUAAUACCUGGGGCUAAUGACGGUACCGUAAGAAUAAGCACCGGCUAACUACGUGCCAGCCGCCGCGGUAACAC
rnacentral:rRNA from 1 species